UUCGCCCUUUUCCGGUUGAUCCUGCCGGACCCGACUGCUAUCAGAGUGGGACUAAGCCAUGCGAGUCAACAUAGCAAUAUGUGGCAUACGGCUCAGUAACACAUAGUCAACAUGCCCAGGGGACGUGGAUAACCUCGGGAAACUGAGGAUAAACCGCGAUAGGUCAUCACUUCUGGAAUGGGUAAUGACUUAAAUCUAUAUGGCCCCUGGAUUGGACUGCGGCCGAUCAGGCUGUUGGUGAGGUAAUGGCCCACCAAACCUGUAACCGGUACGGGCUCUGAGAGGAGGAGCCCGGAGAUGGGCACUGAGACAAGGGCCCAGGCCCUAUGGGGCGCAGCAGGCGCGAAACCUCUGCAAUAGGCGAAAGCUUGACAGGGUUACUCUGAGUGAUUUCCGUUAAGGAGAUCUUUUGGCACCUCUAAAAAUGGUGCAGAAUAAGGGGUGGGCAAGUCUGGUGUCAGCCGCCGCGGUAAUACCAGCACCCCGAGUGGUCGGGACGUUUAUUGGGCCUAAAGCAUCCGUAGCCGGUUCUACAAGUCUUCCGUUAAAUCCACCUGCUUAACAGAUGGGCUGCGGAAGAUACUAUAGAGCUAGGAGGCGGGAGAGGCAAGCGGUACUCGAUGGGUAGGGGUAAAAUCCGUUGAUCCAUUGAAGACCACCAGUGGCGAAGGCGGCUUGCCAGAACGCGCUCGACGGUGAGGGAUGAAAGCUGGGGGAGCAAACCGGAUUAGAUACCCGGGUA
rnacentral:rRNA from 1 species